CUGAGGCGCGCCAAGCCGGUGGGCGGCCCCAGUGGCACUGGCCUCCCCUUCGGUCGUGAUUUUGUCACGUCCGCCCGGUCCCCGGGCCCUUCGCACUUCUGAGAGCCUCGCAGCGCCAACCUUUGCUGGGGCCACAAGAGUCUCCGGAGUGCAGAUUAUAAAUGGAGCCGACUGCUGGUGGACGGGUUCCUCAGCUCUUACCUAAAACCGGGAAUAAAAACGGAGUAACCGGCUUGCGAAAAAAAUCAAUGCAUUUGAGAUAUUGGUGGGGUUUUGGCCUUGCUGGGGACUGAAGUCGGCCUCGCUCGUCCUAAUCAACUAAUGGGUCUGAAAAUUAAAAAACAUUUGGAACUGAAGGAAUUGGUACAAUCGUGGUAAUAAAACUUCCACCCAAAUAAGGUCCUGCUGCAAGAGGUGAACCCUGAACCCUUUCGUGGAUGUGCUGUCAAGAUGAUCAAUGACCCAGCAAGUGACAUGGUCCAUUUCCAGUGAGCCCACCUCCAGCUCCCAGGGUCUCACAGCCUCCAGCCAGAGCUCGCCUGAUGCCUUUCUCUUCCUCUUUCCUCUUUCCACUGUCAAGCUCCCCACCCUUGCCCACCUUUGAGUUCUACUUUAA